rnacentral:tRNA from 1 species
GGGAUUGUAGCUCAGUGGUAGGGCGCUUGCCUUGUAAGCGUGAGGCACUGGGUUCAAUCCUCAGCAUCACA